rnacentral:rRNA from 1 species
UCGAGGAUCUUUAGCAAUGCCCGAAAGGGUGACUAUGCGACGCCGCGUGUGGGAUGAAGGCCUUCGGGUCGUAAACCACUGUCAGGGAGGAAGAAACCUUACGUGUUAACAGCGCGUAAGCUGACAUCACUCCCAAAGGAAGCCACGGCUAACUCUGUGCCAGCAGCCGCGGUAAGACAGAGGUGGCAAGCGUUGUUCGGAUUUAUUGGGUGUAAAGGGUCCGUAGGUGGUCUAACAAGUCUGAUGUGAAAUCCCAUGGCUCAACCGUGGAACUGCAUUGGAAACUGUUGGACUUGAGUACCGCAGAGGUAAAGGGAAUUCCCGGUGUAAGGGUGAAAUGCGUAGAGAUCUGGAGGAACACCGAUGGCGAAGGCAGCCCCCUGGGCUAACACUGACGCUCAUGCACGAAAGCGUGGGGAGCAAACAGGAUUAGAUACCCAUGUAGUCCCUGAGCGGGCUGGCAAGGCGCAU